rnacentral:rRNA from 1 species
GCCGACCUUGUUUCAAGGGAGAGUACCCGCAGAACUUAAGCAUAUCAAUAAGCGGAGGAAAAGAAACCAAAAGGGAUUCCCCGAGUAAGGGCGACUGAAAAGGGAGGAGCCCAGCGCGUAGCCUGCAGGCACGCCCCACUAGAUGGGUCACGGGCCUGCGAGGGAUGCCGCGUAUGGGAGGAAUCGUGGGGGAGCUCGCGCGACCUGAAGUAUUUAUUGAAUGUUGUCUCAUUGCCCAUAGAGGGUGUAAGGCCCGUAAGGUCGUCGCGUCGCGUCCCUCGCCGGUUCCUCUCGAGAGUCGGGUUGCUUGAAAAUGCAGCCCUAAGUAGGUGGUAAACUCCAUCUAAGGCUAAAUAUUCCCACGAGACCGAUAGCGUACAAGUACCGCGAGGGAAAGUUGAAAAGAACUUUGAAGAGAGAGUUCAAAAGAGCGUGAAACUACCACGAGGUUAAAGCGAGUGAGCGUUCGUAUCCGAACGGCUGGUAUUCAACCUGCCCCGGACGUUGGCGGCGGAGGGUCGCAAAGCGUACUGAACGGAUCUCCCUUGAGGCCGCGGACUUCGUGUCCCGGUCUCUCGAGGCGACCGGCGUUUCCUCCGUGCGCGCGGAAGGGGGGUGCUCUUCUGGCCGAAGUAGGGCGUCGCGGCCGUUCGAGAGGUGUCGAUGACACGAGGGUCAGGGAAACCGCUUCUUUCAGUUUCGGAUCGGCGUCGUUGUCGUCUAUCAAGGCGGCGGCGGUAGCGCCCCCGUUUCGCGGGAUUAGCGGGGCCGCCUCGUUCCAGUCUGACGGCCUUUCGGACGGUGAAAUCAUGACAAAAUCGCGCCUGUGACGGGGUCGGCGUCCUCUCCCUCUUCUCCUACGGAGAAGAGGCGAAGGCGCCCCCGCUUAAACGUCCCGAGCGCGAUACGCGGCGUAGGUUUACUGCGACAGCUUACUCGUCCCGUCUUGAAACACGGACCAAGAAGUCUAGAAUAUGCGCGAGUCAAAGGGUUGGCUAAACCCCAAGGCGAAACGAAAGUGAAAACGAUUUUUUCUUCAUAGGGCCGAUCCGGUUCGGGGUGCGUUAGCGGGGAGUCUUUAUCCCCCUCCGUAGUCGUUCCCCUUCUUCUUCGGCAUCCUUCUCGCUGCUGCUGCUGCGCGCGUGUUUCGCACGCGCGCUAGCAAGCGGGCGGGAAGGCGUGUCGUCGUCGUAGGGGCGCUGCGGGGGGUGGCUCCUUCGCUUUCCCCUCGAUUCGUCUCCCAUAAAGUAUGAGGACGGCGCAGGCUCGGGGCUCGCAGGCGACCUCCCUGCCGUUAAGGCUCAACCGUUCGCAUCCUUCGUUCGGGCGCUCGCAUCAUCGGUUGGAUCGUCGACGCUCCGUCGUCGUCGGCGCUUCGGCGUCGGCGUCGGCGGGGCUUAGGCCCCAGCCGUAACGUAAAAGCGCCUCGUUCGAGGUCGUCGGUUCGCUGGCGAGGGACGAGCGGCGGGUUCUUUGAGCGCAUAUUUUAGUACCCGAAAGAUGGUGAUCUAUGCUUGGCCAGGAUGAAGCCAGAGGAAACUCUGGUGGAGGUCCGUAGCGAUUCUGACGUGCAAAUCGAUCGUCGGAGCUGUGCAUAGGGGCGAAAGACCUAUCGAACCAUCUAGUAGCUGGUUCCCUCCGAAGUUUCCCUCAGGAUAGCUUGUGCUCAUUAGCAAAUAAAGGAGUUUCAUCCGGUAAAGAGAAUGAUUAGGGGUCCUUGGGGAUGAAAUUUCCUCAGCCCAUUCUCAAACUCUAAAUGGGUGAAAUAGCGUGCUUUCUUCACUGAAGCGUUGUUGUCUAUAGAAUCCGAGUACCAAGUGGGCCAUUUUUGGUAAGCAGAACUGGCGCUGUGGGAUGAACCAAAAGUCGAGUUAAGGGGCCUAAGUAUCGGCUCAUUCAGAACCCUUGAAAGGCGUUGGUCGCUCAUGACAGCAGGUCGGUGGCCAUGGAAGUCGGCAUCCGCCAAGGAGUGUGUAACAACUCACCUGCCGAAGCGACUAGCCCUGAAAAUGGAUGGCGCUAAAGCCGAUCCCCGAUACUCGACCGUCGGGGCAGUACCGGCCCUCACUCCCCUUAAACAAGGGAGACCGAAUCUUACCUACUCUGUCCCUGAGAAGGUUCGGAUAGGGUCUCGAAGCCUCGACGAGUAGGAGGGCGCGGGGGUGAGCGCGGAAGGUCAGGGCGUGAGCCCGACUGGAGCCGCCUCCGGUGCAGAUCUUGGUGGUAGUAGCAAGCACUCAACUGAGAGCACUGAGGGCCGUGCGGAGAAGGGUUCCUCGUCAACUGCGUUUGAACGAGGGUUAGUCGAUCCUAAGUCCCCGGCUAACGCCUUUUCGAGGGCGUGGCGUCACGGGUCUCGCGAAAU